rnacentral:rRNA from 1 species
AUUGAACGCUGGCGCCAUGCUUUACACAUGCAAGUCGAACGGUAACAGGUUAAGCUGACGAGUGGCGAACGGGUGAGUAAUGCAUCGGAACGUGCCCGGUCGUGGGGGGUAACGCAGCGAAAGCUGCGCUAAUACCGCAUACGAUCUGAGGAUGAAAGCGGGGGACGGUAAGUCCUCGCUCGCUCGGAGCGGCCGAUGUCAGAUUAGGUAGUUGGUGGGGUAAAGGCUCACCAAGCCGACGAUCUGUAGCUGGUCUGAGAGUACGACCAGCCACUCUCGGAAGGAGCCACGGCCCAGACUCCGAGGGGAGGCAGCUGUGGGGAAUUUUGGACAAUGGGCGAAAGCCUGAUCCAGCGAUGCUGCGUGCAGGAAGAAGGCCUUCGGGUUGUAAACUGCUUUUGUACGGAGCGAAAAGGCUCUCUCUAAUACAGGGGGCUCAUUACGGUACCGUAAGAAUAAGCACCGGCUAACUACGUGGCAGCAGCCGCAGUAA